rnacentral:rRNA from 1 species
UACCGCAUAAGAGUAAUUAACACAUGUUAGUUAUUUAAAAGGAGCAAAUUGCUUCACUGUGAGAUGGACCUGCGUUGUAUUAGCUAGUUGGUGAGGUAAAGGCUCACCAAGGCGACGAUACAUAGCCGACCCUGAGAGGGUGAUCGGGCCACACUGGGACUGAGACACGGCCCAGACUCCUACGGGAGGCAGCAGUAGGGAAUCUUCGGCAAUGGACGGAAGUCUGACCGAGCAACGCCGCGUGAGUGAAGAAGGUUUUCGGAUCGUAAAGCUCUGUUGUUAGAGAAGAACGUUGGUAGGAGUGGAAAAUCUACCAAGUGACGGUAACUAACCAGAAAGGGACGGCUAACUACGUGCCAGCAGCCGCGGUAAU